rnacentral:rRNA from 1 species
GAGCAAUCCUGUGAGUACAGUGGCGUACGGGUGAGUAACACGUGGGUAAUCUAACCUUUAGUGGGGAAUAACGCUGGGAAACCGGCGCUAAUACCGCAUAAUCUCGAGAGAGGAAAGCAGCAAUGCGCUGAAGGAGGAGCCCGCGGCCGAUUAGCUAGUUGGGAGGGUAAAAGCCUACCAAGGCAUAGAUCGGUAGCCGGCCUGAGAGGGCACACGGCCACACUGGCACUGAAACACGGGCCAGACUCCUACGGGAGGCAGCAGUGGGGAAUCUUGCACAAUGGGGGCAACCCUGAUGCAGCGACGCCGCGUGAGCGAUGAAGCCCUUCGGGGUGUAAAGCUCUUUCGUCAGGGACGAUAAUGACGGUACCUGGAGAAGCAGCUGCGGCUAACUACGUGCCAGCAGCCGCGGUAAUACGUAGGCAGCGAGCGUUGUUCGGAGUUACUGGGCGUAAAGGGUGUGUAGGCGGUUUUCUAAGUUUGGUGUGAAAUCUCCCGGCUUAACCGGGAGGGUGCGCCGAAAACUGGGAGACUAGAGUGCGGGAUGGGAGAGUAGAAUUCCUGGUGUAGCGGUGAAAUGCGUAGAUAUCAGGAGGAAUACCGGUGGUGCAGACGGCUCUCUGGACCGCAACUGACGCUGAGACACGAAAGCGUGGGUAGCAAACAGGAUUAGAUACCCUGGUAGUCCACGCCCUAAACGAUGCAUAUUUGGUGUAGGUCAUUCAGUUGAUCUGUGCCGGAGCUAACGCGUUAAAUAUGCCGCCUGGGGAGUACAGUCGCAAGGCUG